GGGCGGGUAGCUCAGUUGGUUAGAGCGCGACACUGAUAAUGUCGAGGUCAGAGGUUCAACUCCUCUCUCGCCCACCA
rnacentral:tRNA from 1 species